CAUGUCGAACGAGGACUUCGGUCCUAGUGGCGAACGGUCGCGUAACACGUAAGCAACCUGCCCUGAAGUGGGGGACAACAUCCCGAAAGGGGUGCUAAUACCGCAUGUGGUCACGAGUCGGCAUCGACUUGUGUCUAAAGAUUUAUCGCUUCAGGAUGGGCUUGCGGCCUAUCAGGUAGUUGGUGGGGUAAUGGCCUACCAAGCCGACGACGGGUAGCUGGUCUGAGAGGACGAUCAGCCGGAUUGGGACUGAGAUACGGCCCAGACUCCUACGGGGGGCAGCAAUUAGGAAUCUUGCGCAAUGGGGGAAACCCUGACGCAGCGACGUCGCGUGAAGGAUGAAGGCCCUCGGGUCGUAAACUUCUUUUGAGUGGGAAGAAAUUUGACGGUACCACUCGAAUAAGCCCCGGCUAACUACGUGCCAGCAGCCGCGGUAAUACGUAGGGGGCGAGCGUUGUCCGAAGUUACUGGGCGUAAAGCGCGCGUAGGCGGUUAUUCAAGUCUGGGGUGAAAGGUUCAGUGCUCAACGUGAACAGUGCCUUGGAUACUGGAUGACUUGAGUCUGGGAGGGGGAAGGGGAAUUCCUGGUGUAGCGGUGAAAUGCGUAGAUAUCAGGAGGAACACCGGUGGCGAAGGCGCCUUCCUGGCCUAAGACUGACGCUGAGGUGCGAAAGCGUGGGGAGCAAACGGGAUUAGAUACCCCGGUAGUCCACGCCGUAAACGAUGAGUGCUAGGUGUCGGGGGUAUCGACCCCCCCGGUGCCGUCGCUAACGCAUUAAGCACUCCGCCUGGGGAGUACGGCCGCAAGGUUGAAACUCAAAGGGAUUGACGGGACCCCGCACAAGCGGUGGAGCAUGUGGAUUAAUUCGUCACUAACUCGAGAACCUUACCCAGGUUUGACAUCGAGGGCAAGGUCAUGAAAGUGAU
rnacentral:rRNA from 1 species